UCUGGAGGACUUUGGGCUCUGGUUGGUCUUGAAGCAGAUAUUUGAGGUUGGCACUUUAUAGAUUGAGGGUCUGGUGGACUUUGGGCUCUGGUUGGUCUUGGAGCAGAUAUUUGAGGUUGGCACUUUAUAGAUUGAGGGUCUGGUGGACUUUGGGCUCUGGUUGGUCUUGGAGCAGAUAUUUGAGGUUGGCACUUUAUAAAUUGAGGGUCUGGAGGACUUUGGGCUCUGGUUGGUCUUGGAGCAGAUAUUUGAGGUUGGCACUUUAUAGAUUGAGGGUCAGGUGGACUUUGGGCUCUGGUUGGUGUUGGAGCAGAUAUUUGAGGUUGGCUUACAGCUGCUGGUGUAAGGUUCAAAUUAGUUUGGACGUUAUUGUUGUUAUUAAGUAUGAUACCUGCCGCAGGUAGGACAUUUUUCAUGGCAAUUUCAGCUGGAAGUGCAGGUGUCGUCGCCUCCCUCUGCCGAGCUCUCUCUCUGCCCCAAACCGGGUUGGAGGUCGCCUUCUCCGGGGAGGGUUGAGCCGUCCUCCCGGCGACUGUCCCGGAAGUCAAAGUUCCGCCUCCACUCGGCGUGGAGCCCCUGAAUUUCUUCCUGAGAACGACGUACGACGCGCCAUCUUCCUGCUUGACGGUGGCCACCGAGUUGACGAACUUCUUGAAGAGUUCGCGGUUCCGAACUUGCUCGUCGUUCUCCCGGAGGAAAGGCCGGAAGUGCAGCAGCAGGUCCGAGUUCCUGACGGAGCCGCCGCGGCUCAGAAUGAAGCGUAAAACGGAGUCUUGGGUGAAAUCUGUGGCCAUUGCGGAGCUGCUCGGUUUCAGUCUGAGGCUCCUCGCUGGAUUGGAAGGUCGAGAGUGGAGCUGAACUUCGCCCACUUCAGAGAAUAUGGACAAACUGCUGAUGGUGUCUGCGAUGAGAUGGCGACUUGUCCAGGGUGUACUCCGCCUUCCGCCCAAUGCAGCUGAGAUAAGCUCCAGCGACCCCAAAAUGGACAAGCUGUAGAAAAAUGGAUGGAUGCUGAUGGUGUGUUUGACGGAGUAGCAGCUGGACGAAGAAUCGUACAGUAGAAGUCUACUCUCCAAGAUAAAUACUGUACAUGACUUCAUGAAAAUACUGUACUUGAUGGUUCUACAUUCUAUUGUAUUGUUUGUCAUACAAUAUAUUCUAUCUAAAAUGUGUUUUUCUUUAUAAAAGUCAUGCUACAUGUUAAAAUGGUGCUCUUUCAGGGGGCUAAAUCACAGAAUAAAUAGAUUUUCAUU